GGGCCCGCACAAGCGGUGGAGCAUGUGGUUUAAUUCGAUGAUACGCGAGGAACCUUACCAGGGCUUAAAUGUAAGUUGCAUUAGUUAGAGAUAGCUAUUUCUUCGGACUACUUACAAGGUGCUGCAUGGUUGUCGUCAGCUCGUGCCGUGAGGUGUCAGGUUAAGUCCUAUAACGAGCGCAACCCCUGUUGUUAGUUGCCAUCGAGUAAUGUCGGGAACUCUAACAAGACUGCCGGUGCAAACCGCGAGGAAGGUGGGGAUGACGUCAAAUCAUCACGGCCCUUACGUCCUGGGCUACACACGUGCUACAAUGGCCGGUACAGAGAGCAGCCACUACGCGAGUAGGAGCGAAUCUUCAAAGCCGGUCUCAGUUCGGAUCGCAGUCUGCAACUCGACUGCGUGAAGCUGGAAUC
rnacentral:rRNA from 1 species